rnacentral:rRNA from 1 species
ACAUAAGUAACGAUAAAGCGGGUGAAAAGCCCGCUCGCCGGAAGACCAAGGGUUCCUGUCCAACGUUAAUCGGGGCAGGGUGAGUCGACCCCUAAGGCGAGGCCGAAAGGCGUAGUCGAUGGGAAACGGGUUAAUAUUCCCGUACUUGGUGUUACUGCGAAGGGGGGACGGAGAAGGCUAUGUUGGCCGGGCGACGGUUGU